rnacentral:tRNA from 1 species
GCUUCCGUAGCGCGGUCGGCAGCGCGUCAAUCUCAUAAUCUGAAGGUCGUGAGUUCGAGCCUCACCGAGAGCA